rnacentral:miRNA from 1 species
CAAAUUAGGAUAAUAUCGUGGUAUAUUUGCAAGUUAGAAAUGAGUAUGUUGCAUAUAUUUAUUAAUAUAUUAAGUAAGAAAAUAUAAUAAAAAUUAUGUGCAGAUUAAUAUAAACAUGAUAAACAUUU